rnacentral:rRNA from 1 species
AGAGUUUGAUCCUGGCUCAGGAUGAACGCUGGCGGCGUGCUUAACACAUGCAAGUCGAACGAAGCACUUUAUUUGAUUUCUUCGGAAUGAAGAUUUUGUGACUGAGUGGCGGACGGGUGAGUAACGCGUGGGUAACCUGCCUCAUACAGGGGGAUAACAGUUGGAAACGACUGCUAAUACCGCAUAAGCGCACAGGGUCGCAUGACCUGGUGUGAAAAACUCCGGUGGUAUGAGAUGGACCCGCGUCUGAUUAGCCAGUUGGUGGGGUAACGGCCUACCAAAGCGACGAUCAGUAGCCGACCUGAGAGGGUGACCGGCCACAUUGGGACUGAGACACGGCCCAAACUCCUACGGGAGGCAGCAGUGGGGAAUAUUGCACAAUGGGGGAAACCCUGAUGCAGCGACGCCGCGUGAGCGAAGAAGUAUUUCGGUAUGUAAAGCUCUAUCAGCAGGGAAGAAGAAAUGACGGUACCUGACUAAGAAGCACCGGCUAAAUACGUGCCAGCAGCCGCGGUAAUACGUAUGGUGCAAGCGUUAUCCGGAUUUACUGGGUGUAAAGGGAGCGCAGGCGGUACGGCAAGUCUGAUGUGAAAGCCCGGGGCUCAACCCCGGUACUGCAUUGGAAACUGUCGGACUAGAGUGUCGGAGGGGUAAGUGGAAUUCCUAGUGUAGCGGUGAAAUGCGUAGAUAUUAGGAGGAACACCAGUGGCGAAGGCGGCUUACUGGACGAUUACUGACGCUGAGGCUCGAAAGCGUGGGGAGCAAACAGGAUUAGAUACCCUGGUAGUCCACGCCGUAAACG